AGAACGAACGCUGGCGGCGUGGGAUAAGACAUGCAAGUCGAACGGGAACUUUCAAGCUGUAGCAAUACAGUUGAAGUUUUAGUGGCGAACGGGUCGUCGCUAACACGUGGGCAAUCUGCCGAGAAGUGGGGGAUAGCUCGCCGAAACGGCGAAUUAAUACCGCAUAUGAUCAGCUAAGACAUCUUAGCGACAUCAAAGCCGGGGCAA
rnacentral:rRNA from 1 species